AACGAACGCUGGCGGCAGGCUUAACACAUGCAAGUCGAACGGGCGUAGCAAUACGUCAGUGGCAGACGGGUGAAUAACACGUGGGAACCUUCCUCGUAGUACGGAACAACUCAGGGAAACUUGAGCUAAUACCGUAUACGUCCGAAAGGAGAAAGAUUUAUCACUAUGAGACGGGCCCGCGUCCGAUUAGCUCGUUGGUGGGGUAACGGCCUACCAAGGCAACGAUCGGUAGCUGAUCUGAGAGGAUGAUCAGCCACACUGGGACUGAGACACAGCCCAGACUACUACGGGAGGCAGCAGUGGGGAAUCUUGGACAAUGGGCGAAAGCCUGAUCCAGACAUGCCGCGUGAGUGAAGGAGGCCGUAGGGUUGUAAAGCUCUUUUGGCAGGGACGAUAAUGACGGUACCUGCAGAAUAAGCCCCGGCAAGCUUCGUGCCAGCAGCCGCGGUAAUAC
rnacentral:rRNA from 1 species